GGGGCUGUAGCUCAGUUUGGGAGAGCGCCGCAUUCGCAUUGCGGAGGUCGACGGUUCGAUCCCGUUCAGCUCCACCA
rnacentral:tRNA from 1 species